rnacentral:rRNA from 1 species
AUGAGAAGCGGACGUUCAAGGCAUGUCCAGCGCCACUGCCCGCUCGAUACAUCCCCCACCCCAGCUGCCGACCCCCUCCUCCACGGCGGCGCCUUCGUCCCCGGUGAUGCACGACAGCAGCCCACUACAGGAGGGAGGGAGCAAUGGAUAAGAAGGACGGUGAAGAUAGGGGACAAGAGCUGCUCGCUGCAGCCGCUUGUCGGCGGCCCCAACGGCCUCGUCCUCUGCCAAGAUGAUAAGCCGCGAGAUGGCGGUGCCGCCGAUGGCCAGCCGCAGGACGAGACCAGGGACAAUAGGCCCCUGAUCGACAAUAACACCGUGCAGACGCUGUCCAGCAAGGACAUCGAGGCGAUGAAGCGGGAGGGUGCCAGCAGUGACGCCAUCGUGGAGGCUUUGAUAGCAAAUGGCUCCACAUUUGGAAAUAAGACAGUGUUCUCACAGUUGCAGGAGAAAUAUAAGCUGAAGGAACAAAACAAAUAUGCGCCUAAAGUGCUUUUGCGGCGCCCCUCUACCCGAAGGUUUAUGUGA